rnacentral:tRNA from 1 species
GUCCGAAUGGACGGGUUCAGAUCGGCACCGUUGACGACGAUGUACCGCUUGUUCUCGACGGCGGGCAUUCGGUUCGUGACCGAGUUCGACUCC